CGAUGAUGCCAGCUUGCUGGUGGAUUAGUGGCGAACGGGUGAGUAACACGUGAGUAACCUGCCCUUAACUCUGGGAUAAGCCUGGGAAACUGGGUCUAAUACCGGAUAUGACUCCUCAUCGCAUGGUGGGGGGUGGAAAGCUUUUUGUGGUUUUGGAUGGACUCGCGGCCUAUCAGCUUGUUGGUGAGGUAAUGGCUCACCAAGGCGACGACGGGUAGCCGGCCUGAGAGGGUGACCGGCCACACUGGGACUGAGACACGGCCCAGACUCCUACGGGAGGCAGCAGUGGGGAAUAUUGCACAAUGGGCGCAAGCCUGAUGCAGCGACGCCGCGUGAGGGAUGACGGCCUUCGGGUUGUAAACCUCUUUCAGUAGGGAAGAAGCGAAAGUGACGGUACCUGCAGAAGAAGCGCCGGCUAACUACGUGCCAGCAGCCGCGGUAAUACGUAGGGCGCAAGCGUUAUCCGGAAUUAUUGGGCGUAAAGAGCUCGUAGGCGGUUUGUCGCGUCUGCCGUGAAAGUCCGGGGCUCAACUCCGGAUCUGCGGUGGGUACGGGCAGACUAGAGUGAUGUAGGGGAGACUGGAAUUCCUGGUGUAGCGGUGAAAUGCGCAGAUAUCAGGAGGAACACCGAUGGCGAAGGCAGGUCUCUGGGCAUUAACUGACGCUGAGGAGCGAAAGCAUGGGGAGCGAACAGGAUUAGAUACCCUGGUAGUCCAUGCCGUAAACGUUGGGCACUAGGUGU
rnacentral:rRNA from 1 species